AGGCUUAUUUUCUAUAGUAGUGUUUUUUGUAGAAGUGUUCUGUUUACAUUUUGUUCUUUAAGGAAUGGUUAGAGAUUUUAACUUGUUCUGUAAACCUUAGGAUGUUGAGUUGCCUGAUUUACUCCUUGGCCCACCAGGGAUGGCAAAUUCCACCAACUGGCUAUAAUUUAAAAAAAAACAGAAAUAGAAAAGUGGUUUUUAGUGCUGGGACAAAACCCCAAAAGCCCGUGGAGUAUGGGAGCGCAUGAGGCGCCCUGACCGCAUUUCCCCGAGGUGGAAGCUGUCCAGGCUUGAGCAAGCUAUUAUAGCACUGUGCAGGACAGGCCUUUGUUCUGUUGGCUCAUAUUUCUCACGGCUAUGGCCAAAUUUUGAUUCACGGUGCCCAUGCUGUGGGGAAGAAGAGGAAACCGUGCAUUAUAUUCUUUUUGUCCCAGACUUGCUGACCUCCUCCUCGACAGGUCUGGAAAACCAAAAAUUCUCGAUCUGUAUGGCGACGUGUACCACUACGCAAGAAAGCAGGAUUUCUGUCCAGGGCUUUUGCAAGAGAGGAUUUAAGCCUAUCAAGCCCUCACUCAAAUGGAGUUUGAUGUUUCAUCAAUAUGUGGAUUCCAUGACAGUUUUUCAUUUAUUAUAACACCUAGGUAUUUUGCGUUUUUAGUCUGUGUUACUGGUUUGCCAUGAAUAAGAUAAGUGGAAUUAAUUUGUUUUAGUUUUUUUGUUACUCUUAUCAACUGACAUUUUUCUGGGUGGAAAGACAUGCUCCAAUUUGAUUCCCAUUUCUGUAAUUCAUCUAAUUCUCUUUGUAAAAUAUCUGUGUCUUGUGUUGUUUUUAUUGUUCUAUAUAUUAUGCAAUCGUCUGCAAAUAAUCUGACUUUUGUUCCUGAAGUAAUGCAAUUUGGUAAAUCAUUUAUGUAAAUUAAAAAUAGUAGUGGACCCAAGACUGUUCCUUGAGGAACACCUGAGUCAAAACCCAUUUAGCUACGCUCAUAACAUUUUGAGUGCAUAAUUUGAG